rnacentral:sRNA from 1 species
ACUUAAGGAAGUUCGAUUAAAAUCGGCACGUCCUGUGCCAACAUCGAACGACCCUGCAUCCCGCAGG